GAUGAACGCUGGCGGCGUGCUUAACACAUGCAAGUCGAACGAUGAAGCCCAGCUUGCUGGGUGGAUUAGUGGCGAACGGGUGAGUAACACGUGAGUAACCUACCCUUGACUCUGGGAUAAGCCUGGGAAACUGGGUCUAAUACCGGAUAGGAAGGUCCACCGCAGGGUGGUUGUUGGAAAGAUUUAUCGGUCAUGGAUGGACUCGCGGCCUAUCAGCUUGUUGGUGAGGUAAUGGCUCACCAAGGCGACGACGGGUAGCCGGCCUGAGAGGGUGACCGGCCACACUGGGACUGAGACACGGCCCAGACUCCUACGGGAGGCAGCAGUGGGGAAUAUUGCACAAUGGGCGAAAGCCUGAUGCAGCGACGCCGCGUGGGGGAUGACGGCCUUCGGGUUGUAAACCUCUUUCAGUAGGGAAGAAGCGAAAGUGACGGUACCUGCAGAAGAAGCACCGGCUAACUACGUGCCAGCAGCCGCAGUAAAAC
rnacentral:rRNA from 1 species